GACGAACCGUGCGAACGUUGUUCGGAUUCACUGGGCUUAAAGGGCGCGUAGGCGGGCGGUCGCGCCCGGGGUGAAACCGUUCGGCUCAACCGGACGACUGCCCCGGGGACGGGCCGCCUCGAGGGGGGUAGGGGCACGCGGAACUUCCGGUGGAGCGGUGAAAUGCGUUGAUAUCGGAAGGAACUCCGGUGGCGAAAGCGGCGUGCUGGGCCCCUCCUGACGCUGAGGCGCGAAAGCCAGGGGAGCAAACGGG
rnacentral:rRNA from 1 species